rnacentral:snoRNA from 1 species
ACCCUCUCAGGGAUGCAGCUGGAGAGUUUCCAGUACUCUACCAGUCUCAUCUAUGGGAGGGAGAGUCAAGCAAAGGCAUACCCAUCCCAUUCCUAGCUUAGCCAAUGGCUAAUGAGUGGAAAGCAAUCUGCUACAAGU